CAGGAUGGACCCGCGUCUGAUUAGCUAGUUGGUAAGGUAACGGCUUACCAAGGCGACGAUCAGUAGCCGACCUGAGAGGGUGAUCGGCCACAUUGGAACUGAGACACGGUCCAAACUCCUACGGGAGGCAGCAGUGGGGAAUAUUGCACAAUGGGCGAAAGCCUGAUGCAGCAACGCCGCGUGAGUGAUGAAGGCCUUCGGGUCGUAAAACUCUGUCCUCAAGGAAGAUAAUGACGGUACUUGAGGAGGAAGCCCCGGCUAACUACGUGCCAGCAGCCGCGGUAAUACGUAGGGGGCUAGCGUUAUCCGGAUUUACUGGGCGUAAAGGGUGCGUAGGCGGUCUUUCAAGUCAGGAGUGAAAGGCUACGGCUCAACCGUAGUAAGCUCUUGAAACUGGGAGACUUGAGUGCA
rnacentral:rRNA from 1 species